AAUUUUGACAUGUCUUCUGCUGUGUUUAGUAAUGUGCUCAUGUUUGUGCUGUAAAGGAAAAGAUGGGAGACAGUGUUUUAGAGAGGGGAAGAGGGGACAGCAAGGAAUACAAAAGAUGGCACAAGAUAAAAAAAUAUUAGUAAAGAUAUAGUUGCAAUAAAUAACGUUAUAAAGUGGGGUAAGAAAGCAAAGCAUACUGUAAGCAAAGCCCCAACUCUGUGUGCUCAGCUCCAUGGUAAGGAAUGGCAUGGGAGUGCCCGGAAAGGAGCUGCAGAACACCUUCCCGGUGGUGGUGGUGGUGAUGCUCACUUGAGAGGACAAGUGAGACCCAAACAGCAGACAGAAUGGUCCCAGCAUGCUGGCUGCCUUUUUGUGUUUGAACAGUGGCGGUCAGUCCCAGCCUUGCAGGAUAAUUAAAAGAGAAACCUGUAAAAGCAACAUUCCCGUGAGCGAGUUGGUGCUGCAACGUGCUGGUCUGCCCUGCUGCAGAGAGGAGUGAUCCAGACACUCAGGU
rnacentral:lncRNA from 1 species